rnacentral:rRNA from 1 species
UAACACCUGGAAACAAGAUGCUAAUACCGGAUAACAACAGAUGAUGCCUAUCAACUGUUUAAAAGAUGGUUCUGCUAUCACUCUUGGAUGGACCUGCGGUGCAUUAGCUAGUUGGUAGGGUAACGGCCUACCAAGGCGAUGAUGCAUAGCCGAGUUGAGAGACUGAUCGGCCACAUUGGGACUGAGACACGGCCCCAAACUCCUACGGGAGGCAGCAGCC